AAUAACAUAAAAGGAUAAAGAAUAGACCAAAAGUGGUCUGCAUUGAACGAGAGAAAAAAACAAAAAAAAGCAAAACAAAAAUGAAAAGCUUAAAAAGGAAAUCUACAUUUCAUGUUCUUGGGUAUUUUGCCCAAACUGUCACAUCUUCUCCGAUUAAAAUCCAGCUUGCAGAUCUCCAUUCAUGUAUCAUCACUACCACACAAACUAUAAUCUAUAAGACACACAGAUUUGGUGUGUAAUCAUUUUAUCGGUAAAUUUCUCAUUAACACUAUGAUUCGACCAAUGAUGACUUCUUCAGUUUGAGUGGCAUAGAUCUAAAUUUCAAUAGAGAUACGAGAUGUUUUAGAGUAUUUCUGUUCAUUUUCCUUUGAAAUAGCCUUAAAUUUACGGUCUCAGAAGCUGCCAAAACUUCAUCCCAGCUAAAUUGAGCGUAAUCCAGAUAAGUCUUCCACCCCUUCAAUUGACAUAUUUUUUUCUUGGGUUCUCACAUUUAAUUUAUCCUCCCAGCAAGUUGAACCCCUAAAGGAGUUGAUACCAUUUCUCAAGACAACAAAUAAACAGAUGAAAAUGGGAGAGAUAUGGGCUUCGGAGGAUGAAAUGGAGGAAAGAAGAGAAAGAGAAAGCCAUUGAAGCAAUUCAACAAAUUAAACAGAUAGCAUGUGGUGACACUAAUUCAAGAAAAUCUCAGUGGAGAAGAGCACAGGCAUCUGCAGAUUGCAUACUGAGGAAUCCCAUGCUACUGUCCCUAAAAUACAGAACACAAUCUCAAAACAGAAGAAUCAUCAAAAUGUGGAGUGCAUCAAGUGUACAACCGAAUUUGAAUUUCCCUCAGCCCUAGCUAGUCUCCAGCAUAUCAGGUGCCAAGGAUUGAUGUGAAAUUUGCAUACUCCAGCUUUACAGGUUGUUGCUUUUGCAAAAUCUUUUCAGGAAGAGGUGGGUUUUGCAAAAUGGCUUCACAAUGGUGUGAAUAUUUUACAAGUUCCAUAAUGCAGGUGCAGGCACAGGUUGAUGCUAGAGCUACAGGAUCAUUCAUCCAGACAUGGUGCAGGCACAGGUUGACACUAGAGAUAAAUGAUAAAGGUUUCAGCUAUUCGGACGUCAAGCAUUCAUCUAGACUUGGCACAGGUUGAUGCUAGAGAUACAGGAUCAACGCUACAGCUAUCCGGACGUCGAGCAUUCAGCCUGACUUGGUAAGACCUCAUGCUUUCGAGGAUGCUUGCCCAUUAAAUUCUAUCUUAGUUAUAAGAGUAGCUAGUGGAGUUUGUUCCACUAGCGUUUCUUUCCGCUUUUGUUCAAACAUUGUAUUGGUGCCAUUUUUGCAAGUAUACAUU